AUAAAGAGCUUCCUGCUGAGUAACGGAUGAAAGUCUCCCUCUGAGCAGGAAAAUGGAAAUGGCUCAGUCAGUCAGUGCUAUCACGGUUGGCCCAGCAACCAUCUGAGUCCCCCAUCUCUCUGUGUCUGUGUGCAGAAAUGAGUUGUGAACAGGCAGGGAGAGAGGCAGGGAUUAAACAUGAUCCCACAGACAGGCUGUCAAUCACUGCCACAAACUCUCCAGCCUCCUCCUGCUCGCCACAGAGCCGCAGAAAAGACAGGACGUUGGGGUCUCUGCUGAAGACGACGCUUGCAGUGAAGCCGGGAGACGAGGAGGUCCCUGGGAGUCCCUGCCUGCUCCUGCAGGAGCGGCUAAUCGUGUCGCAGUCAGGCCUUCCUGGAGCCAGGCCGGUGGGGAGCGGAGACUCCGGCCCUGCAACUCGAUCUCCGU